AUGGCCUCCAUGAAAUACUAUUACUUGGUAUUGGUGAUGGUUGCACUGGCCUCAGCGCCGCUGGCCACCGUGGCGGGCGACCCAGACAUCCUCACCGACUUCGUCAUCCCAAACAUGUAUGGGAUAGCGCCGAUGAACAUCACCGGCGACUUCUUCACCUACACCGGCUUUCGUGUCACCAACGAGACCAUGCCAUGGCCUCGGCGGAGCCUCAUUGCGAUUAAGGCCAACAUGGAAGCGUUUCCGGCGCUCAACGGGCAGAGUGUGUCCUACACCAAGCUCGUGUUCCCCUCCGAAUGCGUCAACCCACCGCACACCCAUCCGCGCGCCGCCGAGCUGCUAGUUGUCCUCAACGGUGCACUCUCCGUCGGGUUUGUCGACACCACUGGCAAGCUCUACACACAAGACCUCUCGGCCGGCGACAUGUUCGUGUUCCCCAAGGGCCUAGUCCACUACCAGUACAACCUGGGGCAACGUCCCGCCAUCGCGCUAUCAGCCUUCGGCAGCGCCGCCCCGGGCACUGUGAAUGUGCCUGCCUCCGUGUUCGGCACCGGCAUUGACAACGUCGUGCUCACCAAGUCGUUCAAGACUGACUUUUGGACGGUGCAGAAGCUCAAGGCAGCACUCACUCCACCGCCCAAGAAGUGA
rnacentral:rRNA from 1 species